CAGCCAGGGUACGCGUGUGCUCACCGCGCGGCGGCGAGCGCCGGGCCCUGCGGGCACGCGAGCGCGCCGAGCCCCAGCCCCAGCAACGCGCCACUAAGCCGGCGACCCCGGGUCUGGCGCCGCUGUCAAGACUCCGCGAGGCGCGGUAGGGCCUAGGGGGUGUUCCCGGAAGACUCCCGUGGCUGCUCCUCCGGGCUGCGCGGGUUCUCGCCGCCCAGGCGGGCGCGGUCCGGAGCGCGCAGAGAACGGCCGCGCUCGCGCUCCUGGCAGCUGCCCUUGGCAAGCCUGCAAGCCUGCGAUCCUGCAGAGCUUAGCCCUGGGAUAGCGGCUGCGCGGCGAGGGGGUAGGCGGCCGCGAGCCCGCGCCACGGAGCGGAGGAAGAGCGAAAAUGUGCCAGUUCAGAACCCUGCGGCCUGCACGCCCCUGGGAGUGGCCUCGCGCUGCAAGCCCCCGGCGCCAUCUACCUGGCCUGUGAGGUGUGCUCCCUACAGACUCCGGCUCAGGGCUGGACGUGGUGGAAAAAGAAGUUCAAAAACAAGCAUCCCAGGUUCUCCAACUCAUAUUCGAGAAGCUGCCUGGAAGUCAAACUACAAAAGCCAGACAAGUUUUGCUUGCAAUUAACAACGGAAGCCUGGAAAGUGAACAAUUACAAGAGGACGCCCCAAAUACGCUCUCUUGUUCUGCACUGCUAGCUGCUUAUGCAAUUGGCCGAUUAGCGUUUCUGCAGCAGUCCCCAGAUAAUUUUUACGAGUCAUUUUUGUGGUCAAAAUAAAGCCUACAUUCAACACC